UCCAAUGGGACUUGGUUGACACUGUAUAAGCUGUGUGAGAGUUUGGAAGUUUUGUAUUAAAUUUGCUGUUGAUUAACGCAGCCACCUUUUAUUGCGACCCAUCCAAAAAUUAGUCCUUUUUUGGAUUAUUCCUUCAUCCUGGAGGCAUGUGGGACAAAACGCGUUUUCUUUACGAAUUUAACGUAACACAGGGAGCCAGUGGGGAGCAGCUGAUGGCGUAUUGGAAAGACUUCAGAUCAUCACAGCAAUCAUGAAGCCAUAAAAAGGUUACAUCAACACAGAAAACCUUAGGGAGGAAAAUUGCACAUCUUUCUCUAUUUAGUACUUUGAGGCAUGUUGUACUUCUUACUGAACCCCAGCGAUGAUGUCAAAGCAGCCGUUUUCACCAGAUGUCAAAGGCAAAACACCUGCUGUGAAAUCACACACUGGAGUAUGGCCAGAAAUGCAAUAUGCUUUUAAGUCUUGCUGCACAUUUCUAAAAACCUGUCAGUCUUCACCGUUUUACUUUGUUUUGUCUAAGUUUUUAUCUUAUUGCCAUUUCAUUGAGCACAAGGAGAGCGCUUUCAUAUUAUGCAAUAUGUCUGCUUAAUGUCUGUCACCUGAUACCCACAGGAAUAAACUGCCAGAAAAGAAUCUCUCAAAAACACACAGACACAUUCAUGUCUUUUUAUCUCUGGUUUCUUUGUUAGUCCUGACAAUUCAUUUCGAGGUUUAUGAUGUCGUUAGAUUAGAUUGCAGACAAUUAAACUUGAUGUAAACAGUGGUGAAUGCAGUUGUGACACUGCUGUUCUUGGAAUGCUGCAGAUAAUUGUCUGAAAGGGGUUUCGGGGCAUUUUCAGGCUUUGCCAUUUGAACCAUUUCCUUGUCGCAAUUUUAGGAAAUGUCAGAAAACAAACUGUUCAUUUCCUAAGUCAGGGAACACCAGUUUGUGUCAGCUGGUACCGGUGAUAAUCGUGUCUGUGGAAGCAUGCGGCACGGCAGGGUUUGUGAGCCGUGGGGAUAUGGGAACGUACAGAUAAAACUGACAGCUCUGUGAUGAAGGUAGAGGAAGCUCGCUGUCAAGCAGCUGGGCGUGGGAUUGGAUUUUUAUUUGUUUUGUGCACUUUAAUCUGCUGCCACACAGACAUACAGUGGGUUCAAACAUAUUCAGACCCAAGCACAUUUUCCACAGUCUCUUGUUUUGUAGACCAAACUUGAAUUUGAUUAUCAUUUAAUUAAGGGUUGUCCCAAUGAGGUUUUCUUUGCCAGUCCUGAUCAGGCUCAUUUAAUACGGAGGAUAUGACGUAUUCUCAGCACACGGAGCACCGAGAGACACAAAGGUACCUUUUUUGUAACUUAAAAGUAUCUCAGCUUGUGUCACAUGCUGUCAGUGUUGAUAUCUUCAUUGAAACUCCUGACUGUGUUUUGUUUGUGUUGCUCUGCAGAUCAGUCACUGAUGACAGAUAAAAACUUCCAAUGUUUUAAUGGCGUACAAAGAGAUUUUUGUCAAAGCUGGUGUUCAUGGCACACAAUGGGUUUUUCAUGAACAAUGAAUCUGCAUUCCAGCCCAAUCAAAAUAUCGUAUCUUGUACGGAUCUGGAUUUUCCUACUAAUUACCAAGGAAGUUUCCUUGAAAGAACAAGGUAAUAUUUUUCUAGGCAAAACUUCCUCCUUGAAAUAGCUCCACGUAAGCCCGAGUAAAUAAUAAUUUCUCAUUACUUUACUACUGGAAACUCCAUGCAACUGAAUGCUGUCUCUGUUAUCCCUAUAAUUAGUACCAAAUUGCACAGUUCCUUCCAAGAAACCUCUGGGAAAUUAUUAGGAAAUUAUGGACUUGUAAAAUAAAGCAUUAACAACUAGACUUUGCAGAGCAGUUAGAGACAUUUUCAUCAAUGGCAACAAAGUGAGAAGUAGUUGAUUUUUUCAUACAUAUUGAUACUGAAUAUUCGAAACAAUUUCAACAUGCUUUUUCUGCAAAAUCAAUACAACGCUGCGCUCCCUUGUUCUCUCUUAUUGCUAAUGUUUACUACAUAACUACAUACUACUGGCAUAAUGAAUGGAUAUUACAUACAUUGAAAAGUAUUGUAUUUCAUGUCUCCAACUGCUGGUGGGCCAUCACAAUAAGAGUGUGCAUGCAUAUGAUGUUUAUUCUACUACAGAAAAGACUUGAUGAUCACUAAAAUUAGGUAGGGAAAAAAGUGGAUAUAUUGAUACCAAUAUCGGUCAAAUGCAUUGUUACAUAUCGGCAUAUUGGAUAUAGGCAAAAAAUCCAAUGUUGUGCAUCCCUGGUAUUAAUGUUAGAAAUUCCAGUAUAGUGGCAACUCUAGUGAGAACCCAUUUUUAACAACAAAACCAAAAAUACUACAAUUACUUAUGUAUAUACUGUGUGCAUUCAGAUUGUUAUGAACAGAUUGAUCCACCUCCUUUUAUUUAACUUAUCCUAAAUAAGUCACUAAGAACACCUUGAAAAGCUGUACUAAAGAACUAGACGGAUGAGAGGAAAGUUUCUCUGCUCUGCCCUGAAUGCCAAAUGCUCCUAUAUCCACAGCUUACACCUGGCCAACACAUCCAUAUGGUAAAGCAGUAAAGCAGGGGAAUAUGUCCUGAUUGAUGAAACUAUGAAUGAUGUCAAAUAUAGACAGACAUUUGGGAAAAAAACAUAGCGAAGAGCACACUCAAUCUCACAGUGGAGGGAUGACUCACUUUUCAGCACAACGACUACAACAACAUAGUCAAGACAAUAACAGAGAGUCAGAAUGUCCUUGAAUGGCCUCUUCAGAGUCCAGACUGGAAUUCUGCUAAAUUAUAUAUGGAGAGUUUUCCAAGAAUUCCCAUAUAUCCUGACAGCACUAGUGGGUAUUUAUGUGGAAGAAUGAACAAAACACUACAGUGUAGGUGUGUAAAGCCGGUUAAGGCGACUCCAGGAAGACCUGAAGCUGUAAUUACUGCCAAGGGUGUCUCUAAAAUUAAUCUUUUGAGAACAAAAUUAAUCUUUUUUGAAAGACUCGUGGAGGAGUGAACACCAGAGUCAGCAUUCUUAGUGUCUCUGAUAGAUGGAAUAUAUUUUGGAGGCCCACUCAAAUACUGAAAUAAUUUCUAGGCUGUGAUUUAUUUAUUUAUGAUUUAGUCCUUUCACAACUCUGUAGAAAUGCAGUCGAAAGUACAAACUGACUUAAAAAUCAUUCGUGUGCAGCUGUUGGGCUGCUGAAUGUUGUUUGCAGUCGAUUCAUUGACCACCAUCAAUAAGUUCUCAGCCCGUGAUAAACAAAAGUUCAGCAAUACAGGAAAAUAGGAGUACCUUGACUCACUAUCUGCAGCACUAUAUUUACCCUGUAUAGCCCCUCUUUGUAGGUAGUCUGAGCAUAUCAGUGGUCGACAUAAAUAAGUGAGUGUGCUUGUGUGUAGGCCUGGCGCCUUAUGUUGUUUGUGCUGCUUCUGCAGUUGAAGCAAUAAUGAAUAUUUAAAACCCUUGCGGGGCUUUGUUGUAGCGCUCACACAACAUAUACUGAAGACUUUCACAGAGCAACUUCCUCUCUGUAUGCGCCCGCACCUCUCAAGAACUGCAUCUCCGCUCAGAGCCGUUUGCCUACGACACACGCUGGUACAGCAAGUGGCUGUAAAGUCCACAACUCAAAUGUGCAAUCUCACCACCACAGUGCAGCACUUCUCUUUAUAUGCUGGUGCUUUUAUGAAAACAUGAAGGUGUUUGUGUGUCUCUCUUACCUAUUCUCCCGAAUGAUGUCAUGACUCCCCCAGCUGAUGCAAGAGUGUUGGUGGCCUGAGAACAGCAACAUGAAAUAUUUUUAGUCCAAAAUUAAUAAAACAAUAAACAAAGAAAGGAACAAAGCGUCAAAAAGUAAGUUGUGUAUAUAUUUCCUUAUAUAUAUAUAAGUGUUUAAGUUCACGCAGCAGGACACAAAUAGCAAAAAUGACAUUCAAAAAACUGAUGUUCUUUUCACAAGGGGGACCAUCAGAUUAUCACAGAUCUCCGAUUUCUUACAUUCAGCUGUUUUCCAUCAAUCAUGACUAAUAUUUGCAUUUCGUCUUGUGCAUCUAACUUACAAAGCAGUGAAUUUUGCUUUUAUGAUGCUGCAAAUAGGAUACACUUUGAUAUUCUAUUGGAAACCAUUUCACAUUGUAUUAAUUGAACCUUACACACAUUAUACCACACUGGAACUCAUUUGGGUUAA